AGACCCGAAACCCGGUGAUCUAGCCAUGGGCAGGUUGAAGGUUGGGUAACACUAACUGGAGGACCGAACCGACUAAUGUUGAAAAAUUAGCGGAUGACCUGUGGCUGGGGGUGAAAGGCCAAUCAAACCGGGAGAUAGCUGGUUCUCCCCGAAAGCUAUUUAGGUAGCGCCUCGUGAAUUCAUCUCCGGGGGUAGAGCACUGUUUCGGCUAGGGGGCCAUCCCGGCUUACCAACCCGAUGCAAACUGCGAAUACCGGAGAAUGUUAUCACGGGAGACACACGGCGGGUGCUAACGUCCGUCGUGAAGAGGGAAACAACCCAGACCGCCAGCUAAGGUCCCAAAGUCAUGGUUAAGUGGGAAACGAUGUGGGAAGGCCCAGACAGCCAGGAUGUUGGCUUAGAAGCAGCCAUCAUUUAAAGAAAGCGUAAUAGCUCACUGGUCGAGUCGGCCUGCGCGGAAGAUGUAACGGGGCUAAAUCAUGCACCGAAGCUGCGGCAGCGACACUGUGUGUUGUUGGGUAGGGGAGCGUUCUGUAAGCCUGUGAAGGUGG
rnacentral:rRNA from 1 species